rfam:Gossypium hirsutum cultivar TM-1 chromosome 17, whole genome shotgun sequence
AACCCAUGAUGAGAACAUAUUCUCAGAAGAUCCUUAAAUCUCUUCCAUACAUCAUAUAAUGUCUCCAACUAAAUUUGAGCAAAAGAAGAGAUGUUGUUCCUCAACUU